rnacentral:ribozyme from 1 species
UGCCCAGCAACACCAACCCCUACCUCCGCGGGGCACCAGCCGGACUGCAUGCGGCUGUAUGCGGACUACAUGGGACCUUUGGUCGUAGGCUGACAGGGAAGG